CCACAAGAUUGCACAGAAGGGAAUGUGGCCCUUGGGCUGAAGAAAGGUUCCCCACUCUUGCGUUUUAAGGGACACACCAGUCUUCAAACACAGGAUCCAAAGCAUUGUGAUGAACAGGAAGGGGAAAUGACUAGGAGGAGCAUUGUGUGUCUGUAUGUGUCUGAGAUCAUCGGUGCUGAGUUUUACCUGGUAAACCUCCCUCGAAAGGUAACGGUUUGAAAUUCGCAAGUGGGUUUGAAAGAACACUGCUGCUAUCUCCUCAGUGGAAGGAAGGAAAAAAUUCUGG